AUUCGUAUAUCGACCACUCCCACAAACGUCUACGACCGCACCUACAUAUUUUUGCAUGUUUACAAUUCUAAUUUUAAACAGCCAAUCGACGUUUAAUUGUAAUUGUUACCAAGAACCUGAUUGGCUGUUCAAAAUUAGAAUUGUAAACAUGCAAAACUAUGUAGGUGCGGUCGUAGACGUUUGUGGGAGUGGCCGAUAUACGAAUUUUUUAUGCGAUUCCACAGUUCGGUG
rnacentral:lncRNA from 1 species